rnacentral:lncRNA from 1 species
UUUCACUAUGUGUUAAUUCAAAUCUAAAGAUAUUGACACUUAAGUACAUGCUUCUUCUUCCUUUUGCCCAAAAUGUGUUCUUACUCUUUAUCUUUAUGUUAGUGGGGGAUUAUAAUAUCAAUUUUACAACAUUAAUUAAGAGUAAUGCAAAGUAUAUAGAAUAUUACAUUACAAAAGGAAUAAAUUAGUUAUCCAUUCCAAAUUAUAUUUUUAUUAAAGUGUGACGUAAUGACUUUUAAUGUCAUUAAGAUUUCACAUACGUUUCUUAAGAAUUUAUUUCUAUUUGCAGCUCCUAUAUAAAUAUGUAUUUUGAAUGAGCAUAAAACACCACUACCAACAAAAAAAAAGUAACAUUUUCUUCUUAUCUUAUUCUUAAAAUAAAUAUUGGGUAAUUGAUUGUGGGCUACCUCCAAACUUUCAACCACGAGUGCACAUGUUUGAGAACACUUGUGGCAGUGACUUACACGACACAAUAUUUGUGCUAAAUUAUUUACUAAUUUUAUAAUUUCAUUCUAAUAUCAAUAUUAUAAUAUUUUUCUCCUUCUACCUUUACCAUCUCCAGAUUCACCUCUUUGUUGACCCCUUUAUCCAUCAUCAUAUUAUCUACCAUUUGAAUUGAAAUUCCCUUGUCAAUAUGAUUUGUACUCACACUUUGUCACCACCUUCAAUGGCUUCCACUUCACUUGAUCAAAUGAAUUAUAGUUUUGGAGAGUCCCCUCACUGUCCUUAUCACUCAUUAGAUUUCCAGCUUUCUUUAUAAAAUUUCUAUCAGUGGGCAUCUAUUUGCUCCUUUAUAAAAAGUUGUAUAUAUGUUGGGAUAAAGUCUUGGUAGUUAAUGGUGGAAAAUUAAUGGAUGAACAAGGAUCCAGUCCAGCCAUCGCCGCAAGGUUAUAUAAUUAUGAACUCUUUUUUUUUUUAUGUUAAAUGAGUUUUGCGUGUAAUUAAUAUAAUGUAUACUAAAUUAUAAUUUAAAUUUUAGUGUUACCAUAUAAAUAGACAUUUUGUAAAGAACUUGUUAUAAACUAUACCACUAUUUAUUUGCAUUAGUGGUAUUGAAACUCGUACAUGAAGAGAUCUAUCAUUCUUGUUUGUGCUAUUUAAGCUACAAUUUUAAUAAUUUUAUAUUUAUAUUUACUUAUUUUACCCAAUUAUUUCAAUAAAGAACAUCAGUACCUCAAAUAUUCUACUCUACUCGUUCACUAUCAAUUGUUGACAAACAUUUUACAAACAACUUUUUUUUAUCGUUUUGAUAUGCAAAAGAAAUCACAAUUCAAAUAAUUUUUAUGUAUCUAUAUUUUUUUAAAAAAAAAUCAAAUUAAUCUAAUUGAACUUUGAAAACUAUUCAAAUUAACUUAAAAUUUUUUUGUAAUACGACAAGUAAAAAUAGACACACAAGGAGAACAUUAAAACUAAAAGCUAGAAUUUUAUUACUUGUAAAAUAAAAUUUACUUAUUUUGCUAAAAUAUUCUACAUGCAGCUCCCUUACUAUUCCAAGUCUCCGAAAACAUAUUUAUUUUUUAUAUAUAAUAUAUAUCAUGCUUCAUGAGUAUUAAAAUAUACAGACUUCAAUUAGUUAAAUGCAAACACAAAUUUUUAUUUUUUUUGAAAAAAAUAUUUAUGAGCUAUAUAACAGUCGCAUGUAAACAGCAAAAUAAAUUGACUUAAAUUUUUGUUUUGUCUAAGAAUACGUUCAAGUUUGGUCUAGAAAAAUACAAAUUUCAAUUGAUAUAUGAAGAAAAAAGAAGUACCUAUCAUCACAGAAUACAAACACAAAUUCUGAAGUCAAAAAUAUUGUAUUAUGUUAGAUUAAGGUUAUUAUAAUAAUAUGUAAACAACAAAACAAAUUUACUUUAUAUUUUUGGUCUAGAAAAACUAUAAAAUACAGUUUGGUUAUAUUUGUGAGUGCAAAGGGCUCAUAUCAAGUGUACUUUAUAGAAGGUUCAUUGUGAAGAAAACUCAUGUUCAAAAGAAUAGAACAAAGAUGCACAAUAUAGAGUUAAUAAUAAAGCCACCAACAGCUAUUUAGGGGGCAACUAUAUCACAAACCCUAUGUUAUGCAAAUUUAUCUACCAAAUCUCAUUCAAAAAUGAGAAAUUCUUCACUCUAUCCUCUCUCUUUAUAAUCAUAGCCCAA